GGCUAGUUGGUCUAGGGGUAUGAUUCUCGCUUAGGGUGCUAGAGGUCCCGGGUUCAAAUCCCGGACGAGCCC
rnacentral:tRNA from 1 species